AUACGUAGGGAGCGAGCGUUGUCCGGAAUUACUGGGCGUAAAGGGCGCGUAGGCGGCGCUUCAAGUCGUCUGUCAAAUGGGAGGGCUUAACCCUUUUUCGCAGACGCAACUGGAGAGCUUGAGAAGCAGAGAGGCAAACAGAAUUCCUGGUGUAGCGGUGAAAUGCGUAGAUAUCAGGAAGAAUACCAGUGGCGAAGGCGGUUUGCUGGCUGCAUACUGACGCUGAAGCGCGAAAGCCAGGGGAGCAAACGGGAUUAGAUACCCCGGUAGUCCUGGCAGUAAACGAUGUAUGCUGGGUGUGAGACUAGCGAUAGUUUCGUGCCGAAGUUAACGCGAUAAGCAUACCGCCUGGGGAGUACGGUCGCAAGAUUGAAACUCAAAGGAAUUGACGGGG
rnacentral:rRNA from 1 species